CGGCGGUUGAAUUGCCAUGGCAAUGCGGUGGGCGCGCGCUUGUCGUGUUGGUCUCUUGGGAGGUAGCGGGGCUAGGCCGGGCGGGUAUCCGCCUCUCCCAGCUUAGGUGAGCGUCCCCGGGCGCCUCCGGAGCGCCGCGGCCGCAUGCAGUUCGUCGUGGCGGGGAGCCGGAGCCUGACCGGGGUUCCAGCGCUCGGGCCGUAGCCUUGGCUCCUGGACUUUCCCUGGCUCCGCCGCCACGUGGGAGCUGAGGCUCUGGGGCUUCCGCCUCCGGCGCGCGAUUAUUUCUCUAGAACAGUUUUCAUUUUUAAAAUUUGUAAAGCGCUUUUGCCUGUGUGAUUUCCUCUGGGUUUUUUUUUUUUUUCUUCCUUUUUGUAGAGACGGAAUUGGCGGCGGGGGCGGGGGGUCGAUGUCUCACUUUUUUGCCCAGGCUGGUCUCGAACUCCUGGCUUCAAGGGAUCCUCCUGCCUCGGCCUCUUAAAGUGCUGGGAUUACAGGCGUGAGCCACCGCCCCCGGCCGCCUCUGAGUUUCCAGCCUCGUUGGCCCUCCAGCCUUUUAACCUGUUGGGCCUAGGAUCAGGAAAGGUUUGUUGAAUGGGGAACUAAGAAGUGAAUUCGUUCGUUCGACAAACGUUUCCUGAGCAGCCGCUGGGUGCUAGGCGCAGUGCCAGCGCGGAAUGUCCAGGGAGACCUGGUGCCCAAAGCUUGGACCCAUCGUGAGAAAUGAGAAGCAGAUACAAAGCAGUGUGGGAGUGCAGAGGAGACAAAGCAAGCCUCAUCAGGCCCAUUGCUUGCUCUGCUCUCCCUUGUACUUACCAGUGCUUGACAAUAUACAGUUAUUUACUAGCUUGGUUAUUGACUUCCUACCCAGCACUCAGUUUUAUUCACUGCUGUAUCCUCAGUGCCUAGGACGAUGCUUGGAACGUGCUCUUACAGGGAAAACAGGAAGAACUGGCCCCAUUUUCUAAAUGUGGAGACAGGAGGAGGUGAGAUGGCUCGCCUCUGCCCAGCCGACUGGGAAAUGCAGAGCUCAGAGAGACAGCAAGUCAGGAGAUGUUGAUCCAGGGAGCUUUUCACUCUGCCACCCACCCCAUCGAUGGAAGCACCGACAUUAUCAAGGCUGCAUUUAGAUUUCAAAACAAAAGCAAGCAAACAUGCCGGGCUCGUGGUAUGCUGUUGUUUUAACCGAAAUGAUACAGCUGAAAGGGUGAGCAGCCAUCAGUGCUGUGAGCGAAGCGUGAUCACACAUCUUGUAUGUUUAGCAACUCAGGAGGUAGCUGAGCCUGGAAGUGACUUUCCUGGUAUGUAGCAAUUCAGAGAAUACAAAACCACAUUCAUUAUCUGAAAUGGGCUCAGCUGCUUCUGUGUUUUAUCAUAUAGAGCUGGGAACUUUGAUGUGUGUGGUGUGUGCGUGUUUUGCUGCAUAUACAGAUAAUCACACAACUGGAGGCUUCAGCCUUGCUGUUUACACACACACACACACACACACCCCAGCAGAUACAUCACACACAGACUUCUCACCUGUUACGUUACUAACAGUGGUGCUGGUUUGUUUGAACAGUGUUUGAACUUAUCAAUAACCUUCCUCCAGAAGGCUCAGCAUAGCUAUAGCAUAUGCUGUGUGUGGAAAAUAUAACCUAAGAAACAGAAUGGAAUUGAAUCAUGACCACUAUUGCUAUGAGACAGAAUCCACAGCGAUGGAGUGGGUGCUGGGGUCAGACUGCCUGAGUGUGUACCCUAGGUGAGUCACAUAAUAGCUGGGUGAAUGGCCAAGUUUUCACCUUUUUUCCCUCAUUUGGAAAAUGGGAUGAUAAUAGGAGCUAUCCUGAAGGGUGAUGAUGAGGGUUAAAUUAACAAUAUAGGUAAAGGCUUAGAACAGUGUGUGGCAGAUGGUAGGUAAGCCCUUAAUAAAUAUAAAAUAUCAUUAUUUGUGUCCAUCAUUUGAGAUAUAUCUCACAUCUUAUCCAGAGGACUCCCCAAACACUCGUGUUGUCACUUCUCUUUCCUGUCUCUGGGUUCCUCUACAAGUCAGUUUUGUACCAUGCAGUCUCGCAUUUGAUGACAUGCAGCAUUACUUAGUUCUGUGAAUGAUUCGUGUGUCUUAAUGUCACUUCCCCAACAGACUGUAAAUUUCUUGAUGGCAAGAACCAUGUAACUGGUUUUUGUUAGAUUUCUGCAACUCAAGACCCAAUCCUGGGCAACUGUUGGACACUUAAACAUCCUUCAUCACUAGCUGCGUUCAUCACUAGGAAAAAGUAAGAGAAAUCUGAUGGUAUGGGAUUGUAAGUGGGUAUUAGAUCCAACAGCUGAAACUUAAGAUGUGAAGAUGUAUAUUGACACACAUGUGCGUACAAAAUGUUUAUAGCAGCUUUAUUGAUAAUAGCCAAAAACCAGGAACAACCCGGAUGUCCUUCAACAAGGGAAGGGUGACCCAGCCCGUGAUGCAUCCGUCACACUGUGGAUUGCUGCUCAGCAACGAGGAGGCACAGACUCGAUACGGGAGCCAGCCUGGGUGACGCUCCAGAGAACUACCCUGAGUGGAGAAGGGCAGUCCCACCGUGUGAUUCCAUUAUUAUCACAUUCUUGAAAUGACAGAAUUAUAGAAAGGAGAACAGAGGAGUGGCUGCCAGAGUUUAAGGAGGGAAUGGGGAAAGGGGGAAGAGCAGCAUGCGGGAUCCUUGUGACGGAAGCGUUUUGUGUCGUGUGGGUGUCUGUCAGUUUCCUAGCUGUGAUACUGUACCAUUGUCUUGUAAGAUGCUGCCAUCGGUGGAAACUGGGUAAAGCAUAUAGGGGACCUCUCUGUAUGAUUUCUUACAACUGCAUGUGAAUUUACAGUGGUCUCAAAAUAAAGCAUUUAAUUAAACAAAAAACCCACAUGCAUUUAAAGUAGUCCCAACAGAAGCAGAAAGAAUAGACCAGGCUUCCCACUGUUGGGAGAAACGAGAAACAUGGCAGACCUCUUCCAGAAGAAUUUUGUAUAUUUUCUUUGUUUUCUGUUUUUGUUUUUUCUUUUCUUUUCUUUUUUUUUUUUGAGAUGGAGUCUCACUUUGUCACCCAGGCUGGAGUGCCGUGGCCUGAUCUCAGCUUACUGCAACCUCUGCCUCCUGGGUGCAAGCAAUUCGUCUACCUCAGCCUCCUGAGUAGCUGGGAUUACAGGCACCCACCACCAUGCCCGACUAAUUUUUUUUUGUAUUUUUAGUAGAGAUGGGGUUUCACCAUGUUGGCCAGUCUGGUCUUGAACUCCUGACCUCAGGUGAUCAACCCUCCUCGGCCUCCCAAAGUGCUGGGAUUACAGGCAUG
rnacentral:lncRNA from 1 species